rnacentral:rRNA from 1 species
AUGGCACAGAGGUGCCACCGUUGCCGGCACCAACCGAGGUCGGGCAAGGCUUUCGCCUGGAGCUCAUCCACAAACUCGAGAAUGGCGAGGUUGCAUGACCAGAUCUGGGCACCGGAGCGCCAAGAUGGCCGGAGCAUGCAACAUGUCGCAAACGCCCUGAUCGAAGCCCACCAAUCUGCAUCUCGCGUCACGUCCUCCGUAGCACCUCUCGCUACGUCGGCCGAAACACCACCACCGGCCAUGGAUCUGCGCAGCAACCGCCAGAUCCACGCACCACGGCUCCCUACCGGCAAGAACCAGCAACAUCGAGCCCGGGGCCGCCGCCCCGGCGUCCUCCACCCCAUCCGCAGCAGCCAUGGAGCCCUGCACCCGCCGAACGGACAGGAGAAGCCAGAUCCGGCCAAGUCCGACCAAAUCCAGCCCUCCCCACUCGCCUCCUCCUAA